GAUCCCGAGAGAACAGGAAUCUCUCUCUCGGCCGAUUUCGUUAGUUUCUUCCAAUGGCUUCGAGGUGCGCGGGAUCCCUGCGUCGCAUCAUUCCUCUGUCUCCUCUCCGUUCGUUAGGUCUCCGAUCGCGACCCGCCUCUCCGUCUCCUUCCUUCUCCGCCGGCGCAGCGGCUCCCAGCCCAACCCGCCGAUUUUCGUCUCUCUCGAGGAUUCCUGUGGAACUGGGGAGUUGCGUGGAGUCAUUGCUCCCUUUGCACAGCGCGGUGGCGGCGGCCAGACUAACUUCACGUCUGAGCACGACGACCCAUGGCGGUCGGGCUCUCUCACAGGGUAUCCUCUGCCGCACUACUCCCGGACUCUAGUGCCGUGUUGUUGUUCUCGUACUGUUUGAAGUUAUCUAUCCCAUCGAGGGUACGUGAAGCAUUUAUGCUUCAUCCUUUUGCUAUUCCUAAAGAAAUGGGUGAUUCGGUUCGAAGGUAACGAUGCUCAAGGCUGCUGCUGGCUAUAGUACCAUGUGCACUUUGCGAACCUUGACAAAGUAUUAAUUUGUUAUUCAAAUUAUGCAAUUUGGAUAACUUUCCUGCAUUGAUGAUGCAUUCAUAAUCUUUCUUAUUCGAUCUGAUUUUGAUUGAACUAAUCAUUGAAUUACUGGUCUAUUUAUAGUUCAGCAUCUUUAUAAUUUUAGUAGCCAUAGUCACUGCAGUUUGUUUGCAGCAAUAUUGCUAAGCUACAGUCAUACAAUCUUCUCUUAAUAUUAUCUAUGCAUAUAUCAUGGCUUGUAUUCCAUAA